rnacentral:rRNA from 1 species
AACGUAGGUGGCGAGCGUUAUCCGGAAUUACUGGGCGUAAAGCGUGUGCAGGCGGGCUAGCGAGUGGUGUAUGAAAGCUCCCGGCUCAACCGGGAAGGGUUAUGCCAGACUGCUAGUCUUGAGUGCGAGAGAGGAGCGUGGAAUUCCGGGUGUAGUGGUGAAAUGCGUAGAGAUCCGGAGGAACCCCAGAGGCGAAGGCGGCGCUCUGGCUCGCAACUGACGCUCAGACACGACAGCAUGGGGAGCGAACGGG